GUCCCUGCAGCGCAAUGGAAAGCUCAUUGGACAUCUAAUUCAAAGGUUGUGGGUUGAAAUCCCACCUGAGAUG